GAUGAACGCUAGCUACAGGCUUAACACAUGCAAGUCGAGGGGCAGCACUAGGUAGCAAUACUGAGGUGGCGACCGGCGCACGGGUGCGUAACGCGUAUCCAACCUUCCCGAUACUCUUGGAUAGCCUUCCGAAAGGAGAUUAAUACAAGAUGGUGUUUCACUUUCGCAUGUUAUUGAAACUAAAGAUUUAUCGGUAUCGGAUGGGGAUGCGUGACAUUAGAUAGUAGGCGGGGUAACGGCCCACCUAGUCUACGAUGUCUAGGGGUUCCUGAGAGGAAGGUCCCCCACACUGGAACUGAGACACGGUCCAGACUCCUACGGGAGGCAGCAGUGAGGAAUAUUGGUCAAUGGUCGGAAGACUGAACCAGCCAAGUAGCGUGAAGGAUGAAGGUUCUAUGGAUUGUAAACUUCUUUAUACGGGAAUAAAACCUCCCACGUGUGGGAGCUUGUAUGUACCGUAUGAAUAAGCAUCGGCUAACUCCGUG
rnacentral:rRNA from 1 species